ACGAUUCCUUAGCGGUCGGUACGUAGCUAGCUGUUGGUAUCACAAUCCAAGUCAAUCAUCGCAUUUUUAAAUCAAUCGAACUAAUCCGUCACAAUUUCUCUUCUGUUGUCAGCCUUCCCGUGUCGACAUGAGGGCUAAGUGGCGAAAGAAGCGCAUGCGCAGGCUGAAGCGCAAAAGGAGAAAGAUGAGGCAGAGGUCAAAGUAAACUGUCCUCUCCGCCAUGGCUGUUGCAGCACAUGUUGUCAGCACCCAAACCGGUGAGCUCAGCUGGAGACCCAAGACCCCCUCCCAUGUGAAGUCCGAGGCCCGCGGCGGCAGAUUGAUGCUGGAGAGCGGGUUUCAAGACCUGCUGGAUGACAGGCUUUUCCUCUGGGACAUUCUGGACUCUUUGUUAACUCCUCAACUUUUGUCAUUUGUUUUUGUUUAUACUCUGAUUAAAGGUUUUGGUUUAAAAAAAAAAAAAAAAUGCA